rnacentral:rRNA from 1 species
GGAAUAUUGCGCAAUGGCCGCAAGGCUGACGCAGCGACGCCGCGUGCGGGAUGAAGGCCCUCGGGUUGUAAACCGCCGUCAGGGGGGACGAAUACCUGACGUCAAAUAGCCGAUCGGGGAUGACGGUACCCCCCGAGGAAGCACCGUCUAACUCCGUGCAAGCAGCCGCGGUAAUACGGAGGGUGCAAGCGUUGUCCGGAAUCACUGGGCGUAAAGGGCGCGUAGGUGGCUUUCUAAGUCACCUGUGAAAUCCCGGGGCUCAACUCCGGGGCUGCAGGUGAGACUGGAUGGCUAGAGCUCGGUAGAGGCGAGUGGAAUUCCCGGUGUAGCGGUGGAAUGCGUAGAUAUCGGGAAGAACACCAGUGGCGAAGGCGACUCGCUGGGCCGAUGCUGACACUGAGGCGCGAAAGCGUGGGGAGCAAAC